GGCACUUUGGCGGAGUGGUUAACGCGAUGCCCUGCUAUUGCGUAAGUAAAGCUGUUCAGGCAUUUCCCUCGGGAGCGUGUGUUCGAAUCACACAGGUGUCG
rnacentral:tRNA from 1 species